rnacentral:rRNA from 1 species
UGGAACUGAGACACGGUCCAAACUCCUACGGGAGGCAGCAGUGAGGAAUAUUGGUCAAUGGACGAGAGUCUGAACCAGCCAAGUAGCGUGCAGGAAGACGGCCCUAUGGGUUGUAAACUGCUUUUAUAGGGGGAUAAAGUGUGCCACGUGUGGCAUAUUGCAGGUACCCUAUGAAUAAGGACCGGCUAAUUCCGUGCCAGCAGCCGCGGUAAUACGGAAGGUCCGGGCGUUAUCCGGAUUUAUUGGGUUUAAAGGGAGCGUAGGCCGGAGAUUAAGCGUGUUGUGAAAUGUAGAUGCUCAACAUCUGCACUGCAGCGCGAACUGGUUUCCUUGAGUACGCACAAAGUGGGCGGAAUUCGUGGUGUAGCGGUGAAAUGCUUAGAUAUCACGAAGAACUCCGAUUGCGAAGGCAGCUCACUGGAGCGCAACUGACGCUGAAGCUCGAAAGUGCGGGUAUCGAACAGGAUUAGAUACCCUGGUAGUCCGCACGGUAAACGAUGGAUGCCCGCUGUUGGUCUGAAUAGGUCAGCGGCCAAGCGAAAGCAUUAAGCAUCCCACCUGGGG